GAUGAACGCUAGCGACAGGCUUAACACAUGCAAGUCGAGGGGCAGCGAGGGAGUGCUUGCACUUCUGUCGGCGACCGGCGCACGGGUGAGUAACACGUAUGCAACCUGCCCUUGUCAGGGGGAUAAGCGAGGGAAACCUCGUCUAAUACCGCAUAUAUGAUUUAGAGGCAUCUCUUAAUCAGGAAAGAAUUAUCGGACAAGGAUGGGCAUGCGGGACAUUAGGUAGUUGGGGGUGUAACGGACCACCAAGUCGACGAUCGGUAGCCGGACUGAGAGGUUGAACGGCCACAUUGGGACUGAGACACGGCCCAGACUCCUACGGGAGGCAGCAGUGGGGGAUAUCGCACAAUGGGGGAAACCCUGAUGCAGCAACGCCGCGUGAAGGAAGAAGGUCUUCGGAUUGUAAACUUCUGUUUUUAGUGAAGAACAAAUGACGUAGCUAAAGAGGAAGCCACGGCUAACACGUG
rnacentral:rRNA from 1 species